AACGAACGCUGGCGGCAGGCCUAACACAUGCAAGUCGAGCGAAGCCUUCGGGCUUAGCGGCGGACGGGUGAGUAACGCGUGGGAACGUGCCCUUUGGUACGGAAUAGCCCCGGGAAACUGGGAGUAAUACCGUAUGUGGUCGAGAGACGAAAGAUUUAUCGGCAAAGGAUCGGCCCGCGUUGGAUUAGGUAGUUGGUGGGGUAAUGGCCUACCAAGCCGACGAUCCAUAGCUGGUUUGAGAGGAUGAUCAGCCACACUGGGACUGAGACACGGCCCAGACUCCUACGGGAGGCAGCAGUGGGGAAUCUUAGACAAUGGGGGAAACCCUGAUCUAGCCAUGCCGCGUGAUCGAUGAAGGCCUUAGGGUUGUAAAGAUCUUUCAGUGGGGAAGAUAAUGGCUGUACCCACAGAAGAAGCCCUGGCUAACUCCGUGCCAGCCGCCGCGGUAAAAC
rnacentral:rRNA from 1 species